rnacentral:tRNA from 1 species
AUAAUUUUAAGUUAAAUAAAACUAUUAACUUUCAAAGUUAAAAUUAUAUUAUUAUAUAAAUUAUU